rnacentral:Y_RNA from 1 species
GGCUGGUCUGAUGGUAGUGGGUCAUCAGAACUUAUUAACAUUAGUGUCACUAAAGUUGGUAUACAAUCCCCCACUGCUAAAUUUGACUGGCUAAAA